UCUUCCGUAGUAUAGUGGUCAGUAUGUGAGCUUGUCAAUUCCGUUGUGGGAAUGUCUUCGCUCGAGACCCGGGUUCAAUUCCCGGCGGGAGAG